rnacentral:rRNA from 1 species
GACGAACGCUGGCGGCGUGCUUAACACAUGCAAGUCGAACGAAGUGGCGAAGGGGUUAGUAAUUCGUGGGUAGCCUGCCCUCCGUUUUUGGAUAAGCCUUGGAAACGGGGUCUAAUACCGAAUAAAGGGGGAUGGGGUCGCGGCCUGUCAGGUUGUUGGGGGGCUGAUGGCCUACCAAGGCGGUGACGGGUGGCCGGCCUGAGAGCGUGACUGGCCCCAUGGGGACGGAGAUACGGCCCAGACUCGCACGGGAGGCAACAGUGGGGCAUAUUGCACAAGGGGGAAAAGCCUAAUGCAGGGACGUCGCGUGGGGGUUGAAGGCUUUCGGGUUGUAAACCGCUUACGCUAUCGAACGGGUACGUGGAGAAGAAGCGCCGGCUAACUACGUGCCAGCCGCCGCGGUAAUUC